GGGGUCGUAGCUCAAUUGGUAGAGCAUUACACUGGCAGUGUAAAGGUCAGGGGUUCGAUUCCCCUCGGCUCCACCA
rnacentral:tRNA from 1 species